CAGUAGCCGCGGGAAUACGGAGGGUGCAAGCGUUAAUCGGAAUUACUGGGCGUAAAGCGCACGCAGGCGGUCUGACAAGUCAGAUGUGAAAUCCCCGGGCUUAACCUGGGAACUGCAUUUGAAACUGUCAGGCUGGAGUCUUGUAGAGGGGGGUGGAAUUCCAGGUGUAGCGGUGAAAUGCGUAGAGAUCUGGAGGAAUACCGGUGGCGAAGGCGGCCCCCUGGACAAAGACUGACGCUCAGGUGCGAAAGCGUGGGGAGCAAACAGGAUUAGAUACCCGUGUAGUCCCUGUCUCUUAUAC
rnacentral:rRNA from 1 species